UUGACCUCAAAUCAGGCGGGACUACCCGCUGAACUUAAGCAUAUCAAUAAGCGGAGGAAAAGAAACUAACAAGGAUUCCCCUAGUAACUGCGAGUGAAGCGGGAAAAGCUCAAAUUUAAAAUCUGGCGGCCUCCGGUCGUCCGAGUUGUAGUCUGGAGAAGCGUUUUCCGCGCUGGACC
rnacentral:rRNA from 1 species